AUCUAGCUAAGGAGUUUUAAAUAAGAUGAAACGCGCGUCCUGGAU
rfam:Schistosoma haematobium scaffold232_3, whole genome shotgun sequence.